CAGUCCCCAAAGAACUUCUACAAGCUCACCCCUCCACUCCCUACUCUCCAGUAUGUUGGAAUUAUGCAGUCUUUCAUUUUUAGAAAUGUAUGUGUAAAAGACCUCAAAGAAUCUUCAGCUCCAGUCUCCUACUUUACACUUGUUUGUAAUUUUUCUGGUUUUUGAAGAUCCUAAGAACUUAAUCUAUAAUUUUCUCUUGCUUAUUAGGCUAGAGACUUAUUAUGGACUCCAAUGGUCUAAUAAAAUGCUCUUUCCUGAAACUUAAACCCAUUUCCUGUUGAAUUCUAUACAGCUGGAGAGUCGUGUUGACUUUUCGUGUCUGAAAUAACAAUCAUGAAGCCUUCACUGCUUUUUCUUUUAUGAGUCAACAACUGUCUUAGUUAAAUUAUUUCUGUACGCAAGAAACAGAAACCAGCUUUAAUAAAUGUUUAAUAAAACUUCACAAGGAAUUUAUUAUAAGGGGAUAUUACAUUCUAUAUAAGGACAAGGAUACACCUGAACCUCAGAAAAGGACUAAAACUAUGAAAUGAAGCAGCUCUGGAACCAAGGUGACUCUCCUAUCAGUAACAAGUAGAGAGUUCAAACAGAGCCUGAAGCCAGACUCCCCAGGUUCAAGUCCCAGGUCCACCACAGGCUCUACCUUCAGAGAAGGGCCAUCAUCACAACCAGUCCUUCUUCCUCAUGAUCAAAUCAUGUAUUCCUUUCUGAAACUCCUGAAGUUCCAUUACACCUCGCUAAAUGUUGCACUCUCUCAAAAGUAUAGAACAAACUCUAUGGGCAGAAAGAGAGAAGCUCAGUAUUCUUCACCUGUAGAAGUCAAUACUUUUCCUGGAAUGAGAAAUAGACCGUUUGUACCUCUAUCUAAUAUCACUACUUCUACUACAUAACUGACCCACAUGCUACACUCUCAUUGAGCUUAGUAGAAUUAAGACAAUAGAGUCUUUUUAAAAAUAGUUUAUCUAUUCAUUUUGAUUUUGAGGACAGUUUAGUUUGUGUCUUCAAGUAAGUGGUAGUGAUUUGCCCUAACUGAGUUUUACACUCUUUUAGAGGUUCUAAUUUCUUCCUUUCCUAUCUUUCAGACUACUGUCUGGAAUUCGAUUACUAUCUUUCAGACUCUCAGCACCCUAUUAUUUCAGGCCAUCUGAAAACUCAACAACUACAUUCUUGAUGCCAUUCUUCAGCUGCUAAUCCAUCUUCAAGUUUGGUCACCCACAGCAUGUAUGACAGAUGUCAUACAAAGCAGAUGGCAGUUGCCAUCAGCACCAACCCCUUUUAUCCUUUCUGCCAAAGGCUGACAAACCUUAUGGUAAUCUUCAAUGAGUCACAGCCUUGUAUAAUCCCUCCCUGUGAAUGUGGGCAGAACUUGUGACUUACUUCUAGCCAAUAAAAUAUGGCAAUGGUGAUGAGAUGUUACCCCCAUGAUUAUGUGACAUUACUUGAAACACUGUUUCAGCACACUGGAGUAAGAUUCUCUUGCUGGCUUUAAUGAACUAAGCUGUCAUGUUGCAAGGGAAUCUAUCAGAGGUCCACAUAGCAAGGAAUGGGAGUGGCCCCUAGGAGCUGACAGUGUCCCCAGCCACUGUCAACCAGCAGGAAAAUGGGGACCUGAGUCCUACAACCCCAAGGAACUGAACUCGGUCAACAAUCUCAAAAGCUCAGAGGAAAACUCUGGCUCCAGGAAGGAAUGCAACCCAGGCAGCAACUUCAUUUCAGCCUCAUGAGUUCCUGAGCACAGAAUCCAAGUAAGCCAUGUCUGGACUCCUAACUCAUGGUAAAUGCAAAUUAUAAAUGAAUGGUGUCUUAGGCCACUGAAUUUGUGGUAAUUUGUUAUGCAGCAAGAUAAAACUAGUGAAGCAUUCAUCUCCUCCCCAUCCAUUCCCUAACCUUCCAUGACCCCUCCUUAUGCUGAACAUGCAAUAAAUCAACGCCCGCCUUAGCUGAUCAUUAAAACAUAAGGAAGGGAGGUGAUAUUGACUGAGCACCCAUGAUCUGCCAGACAAAAUACAAAAUCUCUUUUAAUUCUAUGAGGUAGGUAUUGCUGACUUCGCUAAUGUUUCAUUUUCUUAUCUGAAAACUGGGUGUCAUGGACUGAAUUGUAUCCCCCUCCUAAAAAAUUUAUAGGUUGAAGCCCUAACCCCCAAUGUGACUGUAUUUGUGGAAAGGGCCUAUAAGGAGAUAAUAAAGGUUGAAGGGGUCAUAAAGGUUGUGCCCUAAUCCAACAGGACUGAUAGCCUUACAAGAAGAAGAGACACCAGAGAGCUCUCUCUUUGUGUGCACAGGGAAAAGACCAUGGGAGAACACAGAGAGAAGGCAUCAUCUGAAGCCGAGGAGAGAGGCCUUGCCAGAAACGGACCCUGCUGGCACCUUGGUCUUGGACUUUCAGCCUCCAAAAUGAUUCUUCAGGAGCUUUUCCUUGGUUUUUAAGAAACUUCCCAAUUAAGGAGUACCUAAACCAAUGUAUACCAACAACUAAAUUAUCCUGCAAGACAGCGUUGCUACCAGAAGACUCUGAGACCUGCUAUCUUUUUUUAUUUAAAGGAAAGACUAUAUUACAGAGGUAUUAAAAUCUAGUGCAGCAGAAGGAAUGACACUAUCAAAGAAUGUGAAACAACUAAAAAGGAAAUAAUCUGUGCAAGUAAAUGUUAACACUGUAUCUGUGGACCACCCGAAACCACCUGUUGACCGUCUACCUAACAGUCUGAAGAAGGCAUUACUGGUUAGAGGGUGUCUUUUCUCUAAGUGGCAACUCCAGAACAAGAUGUCUUCCAACUUGUGACUCCACCAGACUCCUCUGUAUCUAACUGGAGGAGAAAUCAUGAAGAAGGCACACACGCUUCUCAAAAAUAUGACUUAGAAUCCACACACAUCACAUCUGCUCAUGUUCCCUUGGUGAGAAUUAAUCAUGUGGUCACUGCUGGAUAAAAGGGGAGCCAAGGAAUGUGGUCCCUGGCUGGACUGCCAUUUCCUAAGAAAGCCCUAAUCCAUGGAAGGAGAAGCAGGAAUUGUACUAGGCAGCUCUCUUGGCCACAACCCAGGCUAACCCAGGGAUUCUGGAAAGAUAAGUCAUUAUCUACACCUGAGAUGACUCUUGCAUUCUGAAAAAGCGAAUCUGAGAAAAUAGUUGUAUUCCAUGGGAGACUACUUAAAACUAAAUGAAAAAAAUAACCACUUAAACCAAGCAUGUAAUUAUAGAUUCUUAGAUUUGAAAGAGAUUAUCUAUCACACAGAAAUAUUCCACCUAGAACAAAUGCUCAAAGAGGUGGCACCGUGUCACGUCCCUUCUGAGAUGCAGUUAGAUUGACCUCCGCGGGUUUCAUCAUCAUGUUGGUCUGUCCCUCUCUCCCUCACCACCCGCAGCAAAACCAAUUUGUGGUUCCACUGAAGCAGAGAAAAAUCAAGAACCACAGGCUGCCUCACUUAGUGGUAAACCGUAAAAGGCCUCAGAAACCAUUGCUUCUAAAUCAAUAUAAAAGCAUUUCUACACUUCCAUUACCCUCAGGAAAUUGAACUUGGUGGAGAGCUCUUCCAUUUAAUGAAAUUUACCCCUUUUACAACCAAAACUUGUUUUUUGUAAAUUAAGACACUUGGAACACUUUCUAGAAUGUGUUAUGUACUUCCAUACCUUUUAAAACAGCAAACAGUGGACCAGCAUGCAGUCUUUUCCUGAUGAUACAGGGCUUACCAACAACAGUCACAUGAUACAGGUUCUUUUUGGCCUCAAGCUGAAUGACUUGGACUGUUAUAGAUUUGGAAUCCUUGUGGCUUCUCUGAUUCUGCCCAUGUUAGACUGCCUCAUUGCUCCUCACUUCUGGGUCCUGCUUGGUGUGGCUACUUCUUGCCUUAUAACACUCCCUAUCUGCUGCGGGUUUGAAAACCAAAUAGCAAAACUACUGAGGGCAUUUGACUCUUACUUUACACACAACUCUAAAUAAAAGACGUGCUUCUGAGUCCAUCUCAGAAUCUUCAGCAUAUAUUAUGUGACACUUUGUUUCUUCAGAGUUCCCUUGUACUCAGUUCCCAGUUUUCUUUGCUCCACGUAGGUGAAGCUGUUGGACAACUGAGUUCCAAAUGAAUUAUGUGGUUAGUUACAAUACUCUCAUCAUCUAUUAGUUAGGAUUUGCAUUUGCAGGUGACCCAAGACCAAAUCAAACUGGCUUAAGCUCAUAGAGUUGAGAAAUCCAUCACUUCGGGCACAGCCAGGUCCAGGUAUUCAAGCAAUAUUGUCAAAGUGUCAUUUCUCAACAUCGUGGGCUCUACCAUGUUGCCUUUGGUCUAGGCAAAGGUGGUCACUAGCAUCGACGGCCUUUUAUUCUACCAGCUUAGCAAUUACAACAAAAACUGAGUAUCUUUUCUUCUGUAGUCAAGCAAAAAUCUCGGCACUGAUCUUUAUUAGCCUAAGUUGGAUCACAUAACAUGAACCAAUUACAGUGACGAAAUGGGGUUAAAGUUUAUGGAAGGUGAUUGUUUUGGAUUAGUCUUCUUCACUAGGCCCCAGCAGACCAGACGAAACCAGAAUGGAGUCACUUGUGCUAACUGCCACGUAAGAAAAACGAACUUUGAAAUGGGCUGGUUUUCAACUAAAAAAAAAAACAAUUGGAGAUUCUAGUCAACCUGAGUCAGUGUAAUAAGGAAGUUCGCUCUGCUUUAACCCUACAAGGGAAGUAACUUUGAAACAACCAGUCCUCUUUUUGAUACCUGUUUCUGCUUUUCUUCACCCCUUUUCUGUCUGUAAAGCCAACCUCCUCUGCUCAGCUCAUCAGAACACUAAUUCUAUUUUAUAAGAUGAUGUG
rnacentral:lncRNA from 1 species